rnacentral:rRNA from 1 species
GACGAACGCUGGCGGAGUGCUUUAAGCAUGCAAGUCGAGCGGAGAGAGGUAGCUUGCUACUGAUCUUAGCGGCGGACGGGUGAGUAAUGCUUAGGAAUCUGCCUAUUAGUGGGGGACAACAUUUCGAAAGGAAUGCUAAUACCGCAUACGUCCUACGGGAGAAAGCAGGGGAUCUUCGGACCUUGCGCUAAUAGAUGAGCCUAAGUCGGAUUAGCUAGCUGGUGGGGUAAAGGCCUACCAAGGCGACGAUCUGUAGCGGGUCUGAGAGGAUGAGCCGCCACACUGGGACUGAGACACCGCCCAGACUCCUACGGGAGGCGGCAGUGGGGAAUAUUGGACAAUGGGCGCAAGCCUGAUCCAGCCAUGCCGCGUGUGUGAAGAAGGCCUUAUGGUUGUAAAGCACUUUAAGCGAGGAGGAGGCUACUUUAGUUAAUACCUAGAGAUAGUGGACGUUACUCGCAGAAUAAGCACCGGCUAACUCUGUGCCAGCCGCCGCAGUAA